AAUUCGAUGCAACGAACGAGAACCUUACCUGGUCUUGACAUCCCGGAGACCCUUAGGAAACUAGGGGUGCUUCCAUCUGGAAGAAUCUGGAGACAGGUGCUGCAUGGCUGUCGUCAGCUCGUGUCGUGAGAUGUUGGGUUAAGUCCCGCAACGAGCGCAACCCUUGCCUUUAGUUGCCAGCAGUUCGGCUGGGCACUCUAAAGGGACUGCCGGUGUUAAACCGGAGGAAGGUGGGGAUGACGUCAAGUCCUCAUGGCCUUUAUGACCAGGGCUACACACGUACUACAAUGGCCGAUACAAAGGGCAGCGACACUGCGAGGUGAAGCCAAUCCCGUAAAAUCGGUCUCAGUCCGGAUUGGAGUCUGCAACUCGACUCCAUGAAGUUGGAAUCGCUAGUAAUCGUGGAUCAGCAUGCCACGGUGAAUACGUUCCCGGGCCUU
rnacentral:rRNA from 1 species